UACCCGUGUGCAUGUCUUUCUUCACUGGU
rnacentral:piRNA from 1 species